GAUGAACGCUGGCGGCGUGCCUAAUACAUGCAAGUCGAGCGAACAGACGAGGAGCUUGCUCCUCUGACGUUAGCGGCGGACGGGUGAGUAACACGUGGAUAACCUACCUAUAAGACUGGGAUAACUUCGGGAAACCGGAGCUAAUACCGGAUAAUAUAUUGAACCGCAUGGUUCAAUAGUGAAAGACGGUUUUGCUGUCACUUAUAGAUGGAUCCGCGCCGCAUUAGCUAGUUGGUAAGGUAACGGCUUACCAAGGCAACGAUGCGUAGCCGACCUGAGAGGGUGAUCGGCCACACUGGAACUGAGACACGGUCCAGACUCCUACGGGAGGCAGCAGUAGGGAAUCUUCCGCAAUGGGCGAAAGCCUGACGGAGCAACGCCGCGCGAGUGACGAAGGUCUUCGGAUCGUAAAACUCGGUUAUUAGGGAAGAACAAAUGUGUAAGUAACUAUGCACGUCUUGACGGUACCUAAUAAGAAAGCCACGGCUAACUACGUG
rnacentral:rRNA from 1 species